UCCCUUAUUUUCACUUAGACGCCUUAUUUUUUACAGAUAAAUAAAACACAUGCACACAAGUGAGUGAGGAAACUGAAUAGGAAAUCUCUCCACUUUCUUGCAUCAUAAAAAUUUUCUUGACUAAUUUGACAAAACUACAGAGAUUCAAACAGAAAGACUAUGUGAAGCAUGCAUCAUAAUUAUACCCAACGUAAAAUGCUUGCCUAUAUAGAGAUUGAUCAACCAGCAAAGCCACGACUUCGCUUGUAUUCUUGGCCACAAAUAUUAGAAUCUCCUGUUUAUUAGAAUCCUUUAAAAAAGAUACACCAGAGAAUACUUC
rnacentral:misc_RNA from 1 species